UACGUAGGGGGCGAGCGUUGUCCGGAUUUAUUGGGCGUAAAGAGCGUGUAGGCGGCCAGGUAGGUCUGCUGUGAAAACUCGAGGCUCAACCUCGAGACGUCGGCGGAAACCAUCUGGCUAGAGUCCGGAAGAGGAGAGUGGAAUUCCUGGUGUAGCGGUGAAAUGCGUAGAUAUCUGGAGGAACACCUGCGGCGAAGGCGGGUUGCUGGGCUGACACUGACGCUGAAGCGCGAAAGCUAGGGGAGCGAACGGG
rnacentral:rRNA from 1 species